CAUUAAAGAGUUCUAUAACUCCCAAACCCAUGUGAACAUACCUAACGUUGCCUCGGCAGGUCGCACCUACCUUGUAGCACCCUACCCUGUAGGGCCUACCCGGGAGGUGCGGGUAAGCCUGCCGGCGGCCCACCAAACUCUGUUUGAUAUUGAAUUCUGAACCUAUAACUAAAUAAGUUAAAACUUUCAACAACGGAUCUCUUGGUUCUGGCAUCGAUGAAGAACGCAGCGAAAUGCGAUAAGUAAUGUGAAUUGCAGAAUUCAGUGAAUCAUCGAAUCUUUGAACGCAUAUUGCGCCCAUUAGUAUUCUAGUGGGCAGGACCGUUCGAGCGUCAUUUCAACCCUUAAGCCUUCGUUGCUUAGUGUUGGGAGCCUACGGCAACGUAGCUCCUCAAAGUUAGUGGCGGAGUUGGUUCACACUCUAGACGUAGUAAUUUUUUAUCUCGCCUAUUAGUUGGACUAAUCCCCUGCCGUAAAACCCCCAAUCUAUAUCAAGGUUGACCUCGAAUCGGUUCAGACAAACUCGCUAAAUUGAAGCAUCUUAGUCAGCGAAGGAAAAGAAACCAACAGGGAUUGCCCUAGUAACGGCGAGUGAAGCGGCAACAGCUCAAAUUUGAAAUCUGGCCCUCGGGUCCGAGUUGUAAUUUGUAGAGGAUGCUUUUGGC
rnacentral:rRNA from 1 species